GAAAAGAAGAAAGAAAAAGAAGAGAAGAAAAGGAAAAGAAGAAAGAAAAAGAAGAAAAGGAAAGGAAAAGAAAAACUGAACUAAAAUACAAAACUAAAACUAAAACGUGGGUGAGCCGUCGUUGAGGACACAGAGACUGUGGUCUGCAAAGAAGCUUGCGAGCCCCUCUCCUCUUGCAUCGGUGUGGGUACUACCCCAGAUGGCAUUAUGCGCGUUGAAAUCGCCGCAUAGCACGUAAGACGGGGGAAGGCAGGCGAGGAGCGCAGCCAGAUCAUCGACAUUGUAGUUGACUGCCGGCGGGAGGUAUAGAGAUAUUAAUGUGACAUCCAGGGAGCCCAGGCGGACUGAACAGCAGACGUACUCGCCGAAACCUUGCGCCUGCCGCUGGUGUUGUAUCAGUAAACUUGAGUUGAAAGUGUGCUAUCCUGACACCCCGACGGGAGGAAUUACUUGCUACGCAGAGGGUGAUUACAAGCAGGUUCAGGCAGGGUGGUCCUGUCGACCUCUCAAAUUUUCCUAUAUACAUAUUGAAGUCUAGUGCUUAGGAAGUACAUUGGCGGAGGAAAGAGCUGAAAAUAUCUGACAGUUUGUAAAAAAUAAUCUUCAAGACUGACCAUUUCGAGCACUGCGCUUCCUCGCAAUUAUUGGGCCUUGUGUCUUCGUAACCAUUAAGGUCACGUAAUUAAUUUUUUCAACACUUAUUGCCCAUGUGCUGCAGCACCGUUUGCACUAUCUAUGAGGUUCUACGUUCUGCAGGUGUCCGGAUAAACCGAAGGCUGGAACCGGAGACACGGAGACGACAAAAUUUCUCUUACACAGCAACGGUUUAAUAACAACCAACCGCUGAUAUCCCCAAGAACCUCCGAAAGGGGGCAAGGGCCCCUUGCCCCGCUCCAGCCUUCAGUAUGCACCAGCUUGUCUGCGCCGUCUCUCUUUUGUCGGUCCGGAUAAACAAUCGUAAAGUCGCCUCAUUUGCAAAAAAUCGCACUUUUUCGGCGCGUAACUGCUUCUCUACCAAUACCAGAAGGUUAACAUAUGUAACAUCGUUUUGUUCGUCUUUAAAGGGACUCUGACCAGAAGUCGUGGGAGCUCUUUCGUACUUGCAGUCGAUAAAGCACCCAACAAGGACUCUUCAUGCGAAAAUUCAUGCAUUAAAACCCCACGGGUUCUCUAAACUCGAAUUUUAAACAUUCGACUUCAUCCGAGUGCAGCACGCCUAGCGUCAAACCGAGAAAACAUACGUUUAUAUAGAAUAUCCACCCCAGCCUACCAUCCAAAUGACGUCGACAUGAGGGCCACUGGCAACACCCCGAAUUGGCUCAAACACGUCAUGCGUGUCACGCAAUACCCUGUCAAUUCCCUUCAUGAAAUGGCAUUUAUAUGUUAAUAUGUUUUUGUUACGGAGUCUCAAAAAGAAAAAUAUACCCUGCAUUUAACACCUGCAGUAGGUUCUACGAUUGCCUUUUCAAUCUGUGCAUGGCGUUCCAUAUGGUUACGUAUCCGGUCAGCUGUAAUGGUUGCCACAUGACGAGCUUGCGAACUUAUGUGAUUCCCGGCUCAUCCUGCCUAUUUCGGGUCAUUGGGUUGGUGUUGGAGUUGUUCGCCAUAUUCUGAACGUUUCACCUAUCAUUGCGGCGUACUGUUCUUGAUCUGCUGCGAAGCAACGAACCGCAACGGCAGUCACUCGUCUCAGCGAAAUUUUGUCUGGUGCAUCUCAAAGGAGCAUCAGGACCUGAUGAUGUACAGCAAAUGCUGAAGUUUGAUUCUUUGAACCUUCAUCUAAAGAAACCAAGUGUGCUCUCGUGUGCUUCUGACGGAAAAGUAGUUUCAACAAGGCUAUGCCGCUCUGAAGUAUUGAGAUGACGAAGGGUCGUGGUGGCUGCACCUCUGCUUUCGAAAGAUGAAACAGUCAUUCCACACUGUGCUUACUGGCUUCGUAUCGAGUCUGACAAAUCCGACAGACCUGGACUGCCUUUUUCAAGAAAGUUUGAAAUGAAUGACACCGAGGCACCAAGCAGUGGAGCGCAGCUCCUCCCACCGUCAACUUCGUGGAAGGCGCAAUCAGUUUUCUACUUCUGAUGUCAACACUGCUGCCCGACGAGCAUCGCAUUCCGUAGCCACGUGGACUGUCAUCGAAAGCGGCCGCCCUGUGUCGUGGGCGUCGAGAUCCCGUUGGAGUUCCCAACCUAGACCGUUGAGGGGAAUGGACCCGAACCAGAUCCCGCAUCUCUUCCGAGUAGUGAUGGGCAAGAUGAUGCAGGCGGGCCUAACCAUCAACCCCCGCAAGAUGCAGCUGGCAUCGCCUAGGAUCAGCCUUCUCGGCUUCGUGGUGGACGGUGGUGGCGGAGGACCGCCCUGUUGGAUGGGUGGCUCGCUCCAGAUGGUCGUCGCAGCCACGCCCCCUCCGGGGUGAAGAUCCUGCUUCGAAGCCUAUGUCUUUUUGGGGACUGAGGUUGUCCGACCGUAACCCUCACGAUCCACCGAUUCCCCUGCCCGAGGAGGAACAAAGAUUGCUGUGCCCUCAGUGCAACGUUCCAGAGAUAAACAGGGCGACUCAUCGUCGAGGUCUGCUACACAGGACUAGGGUCGACGUCGCCCGUACUGCUGGUCUAGACAACCAUCUCCAACGACUAGAACAAACCUUCAUUGAUCGUGAAUACCCGGACAAACUUGUGAAAGACGCUAUAGCCAGUGCAAGAUCCACAGAUCGCCAACAAUUGCUCCAAAGAUCUCCUCGAGCCAAUGGAAAUUCUGCAGUAAAUCUCACUGUCACAUUCAAUGUCAGCGUUCCUAACAUUACCCGGAUACUCAACUGCCACUACACAAUUCUUUCACAAUCUGAUCGGAUGAAGGAAAUAUUCUCACAGCCACCGCGCGUAAGUUAUCGCCGGGCGCGGAACAUCCAAGACAGACUAGUAAAUGCCAAAAUUAACAAACUUCCAGAAAAUAACAUUGGUUGCCACCCUUGUAAUGCAAGUAGAUGCCAAAUUUGUAAAUCAAUGCAAGCCGCUAACUCUGCAGAAAGUACCAAUUCUAAUUAUCGGGUCAACAUUAAUGGCGACUUUAACUGUAAUUCUUCCAAUGUUGUCUAUCUUCUUUAAUGCAAUGAAUGCAACGCCCAAUAUAUCGGACAGACAGCUACGUCAUUUAGAACGCGAUUCAAUAACCACAAAUCUGACGUCGCGAAGAAACCUAAUCUGCCAGUGUCUACAGCGCCGGAGAUGUGUCAGCAGCGUUGGCGACCCUACGACGCCUACGCCCCGAAUUGUUACGGGAGGCUCCUCGGCGGGAAGCCCCUCCGGAAGACGUCAUAAUUGAGAUAUUGGAAGAAUUUUGAACCGCGGACUACUGUGGACAUUUUUUUGGGUUGGGGGGUGGGGGAGAGUUGUGUAAUCGCGGGAAGCUCCCCGCAAGGGGGCCUUGUGUUUCGACACGUGUGAGGGGCGGGGCCAAAAACGCUUAAAAGGGGGAAAACGCUGGUCGUGCGCGUGUGUUCGGCGGGAGUUCCUGUUGGAUAGGA